UUUACGGAGAGUUUGAUCCUGGCUCAGGACGAACGCUGGCGGCGUGCUUAACACAUGCAAGUCGAACGAUGAUGCCCAGCUUGCUGGGUGGAUUAGUGGCGAACGGGUGAGUAACACGUGAGUAACCUGCCCCUGACUCUGGGAUAAGCGUUGGAAACGACGUCUAAUACUGGAUAUGAUCACUGGCCGCAUGGUCUGGUGGUGGAAAGAUUUUUUGGUUGGGGAUGGACUCGCGGCCUAUCAGCUUGUUGGUGAGGUAAUGGCUCACCAAGGCAACGACGGGUAGCCGGCCUGAGAGGGUGACCGGCCACACUGGGACUGAGACACGGCCCAGACUCCUACGGGAGGCAGCAGUGGGGAAUAUUGCACAAUGGGCGAAAGCCUGAUGCAGCAACGCCGCGUGAGGGAUGACGGCCUUCGGGUUGUAAACCUCUUUUAGUAGGGAAGAAGCGAAAGUGACGGUACCUGCAGAAAAAGCACCGGCUAACUACGUGCCAGCAGCCGCGGUAAUACGUAGGGUGCAAGCGUUGUCCGGAAUUAUUGGGCGUAAAGAGCUCGUAGGCGGUUUGUCGCGUCUGCUGUGAAAUCCCGAGGCUCAACCUCGGGCUUGCAGUGGGUACGGGCAGACUAGAGUGCGGUAGGGGAGAUUGGAAUUCCUGGUGUAGCGGUGGAAUGCGCAGAUAUCAGGAGGAACACCGAUGGCGAAGGCAGAUCUCUGGGCCGUAACUGACGCUGAGGAGCGAAAGCAUGGGGAGCGAACAGGAUUAGAUACCCUGGUAGUCCAUGCCGUAAACGUUGGGCGCUAGAUGUAGGGACCUUUCCACGGUUUCUGUGUCGUAGCUAACGCAUUAAGCGCCCCGCCUGGGGAGUACGGCCGCAAGGCUAAAACUCAAAGGAAUUGACGGGGGCCCGCACAAGCGGCGGAGCAUGCGGAUUAAUUCGAUGCAACGCGAAGAACCUUACCAAGGCUUGACAUACACCGGAAACGGCCAGAGAUGGUCGCCCCCUUGUGGUCGGUGUACAGGUGGUGCAUGGUUGUCGUCAGCUCGUGUCGUGAGAUGUUGGGUUAAGUCCCGCAACGAGCGCAACCCUCGUUCUAUGUUGCCAGCGGGUUAUGCCGGGGACUCAUAGGAGACUGCCGGGGUCAACUCGGAGGAAGGUGGGGAUGACGUCAAAUCAUCAUGCCCCUUAUGUCUUGGGCUUCACGCAUGCUACAAUGGCCGGUACAAAGGGCUGCGAUACCGUAAGGUGGAGCGAAUCCCAAAAAGCCGGUCUCAGUUCGGAUUGAGGUCUGCAACUCGACCUCAUGAAGUCGGAGUCGCUAGUAAUCGCAGAUCAGCAACGCUGCGGUGAAUACGUUCCCGGGCCUUGUACACACCGCCCGUCAAGUCAUGAAAGUCGGUAACACCCGAAGCCGGUGGCCUAACCCUUGUGGAAGGAGCCGUCGAAGGUGGGAUCGGUGAUUAGGACUAAGUCGUAACAAGGUAGCCGUACCGGAAGGUGCGGCUGGAUCACCUCCUUU
rnacentral:rRNA from 1 species